GUGAAUUCCAAGGUAUCUGACAGCAGAAAAUUGGUGGUGAGGCUUACGCAAAGAAUAGAGCUUUGUGAAACUGAAAUCUCACAACAGACCUUUAUCGUCAUUACAACAUAAGCAGAUCUUCAACAAGCAUUUGCUACUGAAACAUACAGUGAUAUGUACUGAGUGGGACCAGCACAGCAAACAAUAACCCCUGGAGCCGUCACCCUAUUCUUGUCUAGCGGGAACCUUGCUCUUUCAACACCCUUUUUGGGAACAACAAUUUUCCUUGAUUUUACUUCCAAGAACAGGCUGUCUUUACCAAGCCAUGAGACUUGACAGAAGAUUGUGAACCUUAGCUGCUGUUUUAAAAUUCAGACAUUCGCUUUAUGCUCUAGUACCUAGAGAGAGGGGGACAAAUGAGGCAGACUUUUCAUGUCCAUAAAGUACAAUAGGCAUUAAAGCUAAUGUGCAGAGGAGAGAUUUGGGCUGUGUACUUGGCUGCUGCAGGACGGGCGCCACACCUUUCAGUUGUGCCUUUGCUAAUGGAGAGGCAGGGACCAGAUCCUCAUCCUCUGGAAUACUUGGGGAAGAUGGUGUUUGUCUUGUCUUACAUCUGUUUCUGAGUCGUCCCCCUUGCAGCCUGAGUCAUGCACAACCCUUGGUUCUGGGUUAAAAGGAAUAGUCAGGUGAAAAGAGAAAAGGGGUGAGUGUUAUCUACUUCUCACGAUCUUACUCCCGGGUUGUAAUGAAAGUGGAUCUCAGAACUAAUUCUACCACGUAGGCAGAUAUUCAAUAAAGAAACAACCAUUAGCAAAACAAUAUAUUUAACCUGUUUCAUAAAUUCAUUGAAGUCCUGUAAGUUUUCCUCUUGGGGGCUGUAACCAUAACUUCAUUGAAAGGUUCACUUGGGGCAAACCCUAUAGCUCAAACAAGAUUCGCUUACCCUUAGAGCUGGGAAUAGGCAACCGGAAGUCUUUACACUGAUGGCUGAAUGCAGGACUCUUUUGGGAUCAACCCUGAAAAUGCAGGCCUCGCGACUCUCUAAAGACUUUCUUUUCUUUUUUUUUUAUGAUGUUCAUGCAAGAGGAGGAAGCGUCUCUGAAACAUUUUAGCCACUUUACAGAUCUUGAGUUCCACAAAUUUCACCAAUGAUUGCCCGUUUCUAAUAUCCAUUAUGUUCAUUAACAACCAUUAAUUUCUCCUAUGAAAACCCAUUUCUGAAAUUCAGUAUGCUAAUUAGCAAAACCUUUCUUGUUGAUUAGAGAUGUGGAUUACAGAAGGGCUUUUAGUAAUCGCCUCUGGAGUGAGG
rnacentral:lncRNA from 1 species